AGAGUUUGAUCCUGGCUCAGAGCGAACGCUGGCGGCGUGCUUAACACAUGCAAGUCGAGCGGAAAGGCCCUUCGGGGUACUCGAGCGGCGAACGGGUGAGUAACACGUGAGCAACCUGCUCUAGCUCUGGGAUAGCUUCGGGAAACCGGAAUUAAUACCGGAUAUGACUACGGUCAGCAUCAACCGUGGUGGAAAGAUUU
rnacentral:rRNA from 1 species